rnacentral:piRNA from 1 species
AUCUGAACGCGGAGGAUGUCUAC